AGCAGCCGCGGUAAUUCCAGCUCCAAUAGCGUAUAUUAAAGUUGUUGCAGUUAAAAAGCUCGUAGUUGAAUUUCGGGAUCAAUACGUCGGUCGUGCUUCGGUACGUACUGGUGUCAUUGAUUUCUCCCUUCUGACGAACCAUGAUGUCAUUAACUUGGUGUCAUGGGAAAUCAGGACUGUUACUUUGAAAAAAUUAGAGUGUUUAAAGCAGGCUCACGCUUGAAUACAUUAGCAUGGAAUAAUGAAAUAGGACGUCCGAUCCUAUUUUGUUGGUUUCUAGGAUCAACGUAAUGAUUAAUAGGGAUAGUUGGGGGCAUUAGUAUUCAAUUGUCAGAGGUGAAAUUCUUGGAUUUAUUGAAGACUAACUACUGCGAAAGCAUUUGCCAAGGAUGUUUUCAUUAAUCAAGAACGAAAGUUAGGGGAUCGAAGACGAUCAGAUACCGUCGUAGUCUUAACCAUAAACUAUGCCGACUAGGGAUCGGAUGAUGUUAAUUUUUAAUGA
rnacentral:rRNA from 1 species